GAACAACAGCAAAAUUUGAAGCAUAGAUCUUCUUUAUCAUUAUCAACUCAACUCUUCUCACCUACCUGGAUGUGAUGUAGAGGAUAAAAGCGAGAAGUCCUCAUGUGAGCUGGGAUUGGAUAGAUCUGGGUGUUCCAUAUUCGUUUGUGUGCACUCCCUUGGUUUAAAAACUUCUGUAAUAUUUUGAAGAAAUUCGACUCUUGUAGCCGUGCGGAGAGAUGAAUAGAUAUACUAUUGCUUUAAUUGUUUCCGCUAUACUGGGAACAAUUGGAAGCGUUUUGUUUAUGACUGUACCUAAUGAUACUGUCAAAUGUGUUGGCAUUGUAUUGACUAUUGGAUGUUCCUACCUUUUUUUAUUCUUCAUAAUCAUGCAUCAUAUAGCUAAUGCACCAAAAAUCACUGUUCCGGAUUGGUCGCAGCAGAUUUCUUCUCAAAGUCCUGUUGCAUAUAGGUCAGAGCAGAUCUCCUCUCAAAGUUCUGUCCGGGACAGGUCACAGCAGGUUUCUCCUAAACAGAGUCCUGUUCAUCAUAGGUCACAGCCGGUGUCUGCUCAACAAAGUUCCGUUAGGGAUAGGUCACAGCAGGUUUCUCCUCAACAAAGUCCUGUUCAGGAUAGGUCACAAUAGAAUCCUAUAUCAACUCAAACUUGAAAACGCUGAAUAAAGAUCAAAGUGCAAACUAUGCUGGAUUGGAGUUUUAGAAUAUUGUAUUUUGUGACUGUUUUUAAACGAUUUGUUUGUACUAUUUAAUCAAAAGUAAAGUUCUUCUUACAAUUUGCAAA